AGCACAGAAUUUUUCGCUAACAGAAACCUCAAAACAAUGUAAGUGAAUUGUUUUGUGUAGA
rnacentral:pre_miRNA from 1 species